AUAAAUUCAUUAAAAUCACCUAAGAUCCUCAGAACUUAUCUAUUAUUAUUAUUUCAUCAAAAAUGUUUUAUCUUUUUUUUCUUGUUACUUUGUUUGUACAAUAUGUACAAAGUGUUCCUCAGAAUAGUUCAAUUGUUGAAUAUCUUCCUGGUUUUGAUGGACCUCUUCCUUUUUAUCUUGAGACUGGAUACAUUGGAAUUGGUAAAUCUGAGGAAGUACAACUAUUCUAUUAUUUUGUUAAAUCCGAAUCCGACCCGAGAAAAGAUCCGCUCGUGCUAUGGCUAACCGGAGGGCCCGGUUGCUCUUCCUUCACAGGGUUGGCAUACGAAGUAGGUCCAUUGGAUUUUGGCCAAAAGGCAUACAAUGGUAGCCUACCAAUUCUUAUUUCAAGUCCAUAUUCAUGGACCAAGUUCGCGAGCAUACUUUUCUUGGAGCAGCCUGUUAAUACUGGAUUCUCGUAUGCAACAACUUCAGAGGCAUACAAGUGUACUGAUCUACAAGCAUGUGAUCACGUCUAUGAAUUUCUAAGAAAGUGGCUUGUUAAUCAUCCAGAAUUCAUUUUGAACCCUUUCUAUGUUUCUGGGGAUUCAUAUUCAGGCAUUACAAUUCCAGUUAUUGUUCAACUAAUAUCAAAUGGAAUUGAACAAGGAAAAGAGCCAUUAAUCAACCUUAAGGGCUAUUCACUUGGAAAUCCAUUAACAUUUUCUGAGGAAUCCAAUUACCAAGUUCCUUACUCUCAUGGUAUGGGACUAAUAUCCAACGAACUUUAUGAGUCGUUGAACGAGAUUUGCAAAGGUGAAUACCUCAACAUAGAUCCUACCAACAAACAAUGUGUUGAAAACUUUAAAAUGUUCAAGAAUCUUGUGAGUGGUAUAAAUGAUCAACAAAUACUAGAGCCUUUUUGUGGAACAGACUCUGAAGAACAAUACUCUAGUGAAAGAAGAUCUCUUGAAGAACAAUAUUUCAUUUUUCAAAAAUACGAUGACUUUAUCUGUCGAGAAAGUCGUGUCGCCACACGCAAGCUUUCCAAUUAUUGGGCAAAUGAUCCAAGAGUUCAAGAAGCUCUCCAUGUUAGAAAGGGAACUAUAAGAAGAACAUGGGCAAGAUGUAGGCAAAGUAUUCUGUCUACAAGUUACACAGUUACUUUCAUGAAUAGUAUACCUUAUCAUGUAAACCUUAGUUCAAAAGGUUAUCGAUCACUUAUAUACAGUGGUGAUCAUGACAUGGUUGUUCCUUUCCAAUCAACACAAGCAUGGAUAAAGUAUCUAAAUUAUUCAAUUAUUGAUGAUUGGCGUCCAUGGACGGUUGAUGGACAAGUUGAAGGUUACACAAGGUCUUUCUCGAAUCAUAUGACAUUUGCAACAAUAAAGGGAGGAGGACACACAGCUCCAGAGUACAAACGCAAAGAGAGCUUCCAUAUGUUUAAAAGAUGGAUAGCCCAACAACCUUUGUAAUCUUUUUAGAUAUAUCAUGUCCGUAAUGAAUAAAUAUAUUAAGAUUUCAUUAGAAGAAGAAACACUUGUAAUCUUUAAUUAGUAUCAUAUGUAUAAUUCUUAAGAUUACCAUGAAAAUAUAACUAUACCUCUACGGACCUGUCAAUGCUCCGAGCCUACACCCUGGACGUGAUAGGUACUCGAGAAUUAUUAUUGGCUCCAUGUGAAA